rnacentral:rRNA from 1 species
CCAAGAGAUCGGGAUAACACCUGGAAACAGAUGCUAAUACCGGAUAACAACAGAUGAUGCCUAUCAACUGUUUAAAAGAUGGUUCUGCUAUCACUCUUGGAUGGACCUGCGGUGCAUUAGCUAGUUGGUAGGGUAACGGCCUACCAAGGCGAUGAUGCAUAGCCGAGUUGAGAGACUGAUGGCCACAUUGGGACUGAGACACGGCCCAAACUCCUACGGGAGGCAGCAGCA